UGGAAACUAGCUUAAUCGGUAAAGCAUUAAAUUUUGGGUUUAAUGAGUAUGGGUUCGAAUCCCGUGUUUCCAA
rnacentral:tRNA from 1 species